rnacentral:rRNA from 1 species
GACGAGCGGCGGACGGGUGAGUAAUGUCUGGGAAACUGCCUGAUGGAGGGGGAUAACUACUGGAAACGGUAGCUAAUACCGCAUAACGUCGCAAGACCAAAGAGGGGGACCUUCGGGCCUCUUGCCAUCAGAUGUGCCCAGAUGGGAUUAGCUAGUAGGUGGGGUAACGGCUCACCUAGGCGACGAUCCCUAGCUGGUCUGAGAGGAUGACCAGCCACACUGGAACUGAGACACGGUCCAGACUCCUACGGGAGGCAGCAGUGGGGAAUAUUGCACAAUGGGCGCAAGCCUGAUGCAGCCAUGCCGCGUGUAUGAAGAAGGCCUUCGGGUUGUAAAGUACUUUCAGCGGGGAGGAAGGCGAUAAGGUUAAUAACCUUGUCGAUUGACGUUACCCGCAGAAGAAGCACCGGCUAACUCCGUGCCAGCAGCCGCGGUAAUACGGAGGGUGCAAGCGUUAAUCGGAAUUACUGGGCGUAAAGCGCACGCAGGCGGUCUGUCAAGUCGGAUGUGAAAUCCCCGGGCUCAACCUGGGAACUGCAUUCGAAACUGGCAGGCUAGAGUCUUGUAGAGGGGGGUAGAAA